rnacentral:rRNA from 2 species
CGCGACCCCAGGUCAAGCGGGGCUACCCGCUGAGUUUAAGCAUAUCAAUAA